rfam:Stachybotrys chartarum IBT 40288 unplaced genomic scaffold scaffold494, whole genome shotgun sequence.
GGGGGGCUGGCGCAACGGUAGCGCGUCAGAUUCCAGAUUGGAAUCUCCUGAAGGUUACCGGUUCAAAUCCGGUGUCCCUCA